rnacentral:rRNA from 1 species
AGUGAACGCUGGCGGUAGGCCUAACACAUGCAAGUCGAACGGCAGCACAGUAAGAGCUUGCUCUUACGGGUGGCGGGUGGCGGGCGGGUGAGGAGUACAUCGUACUCUACUUUUUCGUGGGGGAUAACGUAGGGAAGGUUACGCUCAUACCGCAUACGCCCUACGGUUGAAAGCAGGGGAUCUUCGGACCUUGCGCGAUUGAAUGAGCCGCUGUCGGAUUAGCUAGUUGGCGGGGUAAAGGCCCACCAAGGCGACGAUCCGUAGCUGGUCUGAGAGGAUGAUCACCCACACUGGAACGGAGACACGGUCCAGACGCCUACGGUAGGCAGCAGUGUGGAAUAUUGGACAAUGGUCGCAAGCCUGAUACAGCGAUACCGCGUGGGUGACGAAGGCCUUCGGGUUGUAAAGCCCUUCUGUUGGGAAAGAAAAGCAGCAGGCUAAUACCCCGCUGUUCUGACGGUACCCAAAGAAUAAGCACCGGCUAACUUCGUG